CCUCUAACAGGUUAUUCCUCUAACAGGUUAUUCCUCUAACAGGUUAUUCCCCUAACAGGUUAUUCCCCUGACAGGUUAUUCCCCUGACAGGUUAUUCCCCUAACAGGUUAUUCCCUAACAGGUUAUUCCCCUAACAGGUUAUUGCUAACAGGUUAUUCCUAACAGGUUAUUCCCCUAACAGGUUAUUCCUAACAGGUUAUUCCCCUAACAGGUUAUUCCCCUAACAGGUUAUUCCUCUAACUGGUUAUU